rnacentral:rRNA from 1 species
UACGAAGGGGGCGAGCGUUGUUCGGAAUUACUGGGCGUAAAGGGCGCGUAGGCGGCCGAUCAAGUCAGAUGUGAAAGUCCUGGGCUUAACCUGGGGACUGCAUUUGAUACUGAUUGGCUUGAAUGCAGGAGAGGAUAGCGGAAUUCCCAGUGUAGAGGUGAAAUUCGUAGAUAUUGGGAAGAACACCGGUGGCGAAGGCGGCUAUCUGGACUGUGAUUGACGCUGAGGCGCGAAAUCGUGGGGAGCAAACAGG